rnacentral:rRNA from 1 species
CGGGCGAACGGGUGAGUAAUGCUUUGGAAUCUUCCCAGUAGUGGGGAAUAACCAGUCGAAAGAUUGGCUAAUACCGCAUACGUCUGUAAAGGGAAAGCGGGGCUCGUAAGACCUCGCGCUAUUGGAUGAGCCAAAGUCGGAUUAGCUUGUUGGUGGGGUAAUGGCCUACCAAGGCGACAAUCCGUAGCUGGUCUGAGAGGACGACCAGCCACACUGGGACUGAGACACGGCCCAG